CAGGAAAUAGCAAUACCAUAAAGAUUUAAUCCGUGUACAGAAGACAGCCAGACUGUAUACUUUAAAACAUUAAAAAAAAAAAAAAAAGGUCUGCCCCAAUAAUUAGCACAAUUUAUAUUGACAUUUAUUGGACAAAGAAUAUCAAACAUCUCCUAGUGCAGGUACUAUUUAUGCAGCAUCAGCAGAAUUUCAUACAUUUCAUAUUAAAAAUGUAUUUAUUUUUUAAAUGUAAAAGUCACAUUGUUUUUCAAUAGUGCAAACAGAAAAAAAACAAACAAAAAAAACACGACAAGUAAUUUUACAGUGCUAUCUUAAACAUUUAUUUUUAUGCAACUAGACAAUUUGGAAAACAAAAUAUUACAAAUACAAAAAAAAAAAAAAAGCUUUUAUGUACAUUUUUCAUGUAAAAUACAUUUCACUUUUUAUUCAUUUCUUCAUAUGUGUUUCUGUAAACAAAAGCUAAACCUGUUCUCGCUUAAAUCAGAAAAUGUUCCCCUCAUGAUUCUUAGACUAAAGCUAGGGCAUUUUAGAAUAUAAUCAUUAAUUACUCAAACCUUGCACAAUUGUGUGUGACUAGUAAUAUCUAUCUACUAUUAUUAUUGUAGUAUUUAUAUAGCGCCAUCAGAUUCCGUAGCGCUGUACAAUGGGUGGAAUAAGUCUGUUAAAAGUAAUUCUGGCGCAAAGAUGCAAAAGUGAUAUUAUUAGCAAAUGAACUAUGUUGAUUUACAUGGUUAGUGUUCCACUUCUGGAUGUUUGUCCUUGAAUUCCUCUUUAUAUAUAAUCCUCUCUGUUUCUUGGAUUGACAUUAGUCACUCCACAGCACAUAUUACAUAAAAAAAACUUGAAAGAAUUAAUUCAUGAUCAUACUAUUAAAGGAGAACUGUCAUCAAACUUUCGCUUUUUAUAUUUUAAGUUUAUUAUAUUUAAUAAAACUUAAAGGGACACUAUAGUCACCAAAACAAGGUUAGCUAAAUUAAGCAGUUUUGUGUAUAGAUCAUGCCCCGGCCAUUUUACUGCUCAAUUUUCUGCCAUUUAGGAGUUAAAUCACUUUUGUUUAUGUUUAUGAAGCUCUAACAACACCUUCCCCUGGCUGUGACUGACACAGCCUGCAUGAAAACAAAAUGGUUUAAUUUUCAAUCAUAUGUUAACUUACUUUUUAAAGUUUCUCUCUCCUGCUCUGUAAGUUCAACUUUUAAGGACACUAUAGACACCCAGACCACUUCAGCUCAAUGAAGUGGUCUGGGUGCCAGGUCCAUCUAGGGUUAACCCUGCAGCUGUAAACAUAGUUUCAUAGAAACUGCUAUGUUUACAUUAGGGUUAAUCCAGCCUCUAGUGGCUGUCUCAUUGACAGGCGUUAGAGGCGCUUCCCACUGUGAAAAUCACAGUGAGAAGACGCUGACAUCCAGGGACUGAUUGAAUGCGCGCACCACUCUUGCCGCGCAUGGGCAUUCAGUGCUGACGUUGGAAGAGGGAGGAGAUUUCCCCAGCCCUGAGGGAGCCCGGUGCUGGAGUGGGACCCUGAGGGUGGGGGGACCUAGAGACCCUACAGUGCCAGGAAAACGACUUUGUUUUCCUGGCACUAUAGUGGUCCUUUAAUCACAUACAUGAGGUUCCUGCAAUGUCUUGCAAGCUUUUAACAGUGUAGGGUAUAUGGAAUCCAAAAUUAUACAGAAUUCGCAAUAAAAGAAGUAUAAACAUUAGAUGUCUCUUUACAGGAAGUGUUCAGGAAGGCUCUGCAAGUGCAAGUCAUGAAAAGAAUUGAGUAGUGAGACUGCAGGGGCAUGAUCUAUACACAAAAACUGCUCCGUUAAGCUAAAGCAGUCUUGACUAUAGUGUUCCAUUAAUAUAUUUUUUUUUUAAUAAAAUUAUGUAUAUUGUUGUUUUUUUUUUUUUUUAGACAACAUGGCCAGAUUUUAAAAAACAAAUAAUAAUAAUAAUAUGUAUACAUCAUUAAGUUUCAUUAGAUUUAAUGAACUAUUAAAAAAAAUGAGAAGUGAACAUUUUAUGACAGUUGUUCUUUAAUAAGGGUGGAGACAAUUUAGAUCCAUAGUCAGUAAUACUAUUUAAAUCAUGACUUUUAAAUGUACAGAAUCAUCAUUGCUAGUUGUUAUAAUGACUAAUAUUUGCAACCAGAUAAAGAUUUAAUAUUUAGAAUAACAUUUCAGAUUAAUUAGAUCAUAACUGAUUUUGUUAUAUACAGAGAAAUGCAUAGAUGGAUAAUGGUCAAAUUGUUACAAGGUAACCUAUUCUCUUGUUUAAUAGGUUAAUCAUUGACAUUUGGAGAACAAUUUAAAUUAAAAGGUUUUCAUUGUGUGUACACAGAUUUACAGAAGAAUGGGAUUAAGAUCUUUUUCUGAACUUUUUAUGUUUAUUUUAGAACAUGUAAAAUGUGCAUGUUAUCUCGGCAGACACAAGUUCAAUUAACUUGGAUUAAUUAAAUGAACUAAAAUGUAAAUAUUACAUUAAUAUUCAGCCUCACACUACAUAACGUACCCUUAUUUUUAAUGCUAAAAAUCCUUUAUAUUAUAAUGUAUCUUAAAAAGAAAACUCUUUGGAUAGAUUUUUCCUCCAAAAGCAAUUUAGUAAAUGAAAAUCAGAAUUAAAGGGACACUAUAGGCACCCAGACCACUUCAUUUCAUUGACAGUGUCCCUGUCCCCUUAGCUCUGUAAUCUAAAACAUUGCAAUUUCAGAGAAAGCCCUACGAUAUAAACAUUGCACUAAGAUUGCCUCUAUUGGCAGUCUACUUGAAGAUGGUGAUUUACCAGCAGAUUACAUUUCUGCUAUCAUGGAAGGAGAGGAUGCAGAGGAUAACAUGAUUUCCAAAACCAGCAAUCCCGGAUGUGAAAUAUUAUUUCAUUUUCCAAGUAGUGGUGUACCUUUUUCUCCAACAAUCAUUGCAACCUCUUGCAAAAUAAAUAAAUAAAAAUGUACUUGCCUUAUAGCCUGCGAUGCACUGGGCUUGCUGCUUGUCACGACUACACUAUCCUACUUACUAGUAUAGGUCAGGAAUAUGAAGACAGAAAGGAUGUAUUUUAGGACCUUAGAAUGGCCGGGUUUCAUGGAUAAAAGAGAGAAAGCAUAAAACGUAAAAAUCAGCCAAGUUCAGGAUACCAGAAAUACAAUAAAACAAGACAGGUCAGGAUAGCAGAGGUCAGAAUAGUCAUUAAACAAGUCAAAAUCGAAUAAGCAGAAAAUCAGUGAAUAUAUAAUGCUCUGUACGAGGAACCAAGAGGAAACCACGACAGGGCAAUGACUAUAGGGAUAAAACUUUAAAUACUGAGGUGGACACAGAUUGGCCCACGGGAAGUCUUAAUUAAGAGCAACUGGAUUGUUCUUCCAAGGGAUGUAUGCACUAAACAAGAAAAUGUGGUGAAUUGAAACUCCAUUAGAAAAACAUACUAGCCUUGACUGUAGAGCUUGGAAAGUUCUCUAAACUCAUAUAUUGCCAACACAGCAAUUCUGUAAAAAUAACAACCAACCUCUACCCCAAUAAGUAAAGAAAAAAAAAAAAAAAAAUGUUGUGCAUGCACCAUUAUAUUGUCUAUUACAAAAUUUGGAGAGCAUAAUAAACCGUAAUAAAUAAUAAAAUUAAAAAAAAAAA